GAGGAACCAAUCAUGAAGCAGGAUCCCAAAAGUGAAAACAUCAAUACUGGCUGCAAGAAUGGCUGCACUACUGAUGCUGCUUGUCCUUUGCUGCCUCGCAGUUUUCCUUCUUUCAGAGUGACAAUGAUGAAGCACCUACUUCACGGUUAGAAGACGGCUAUGUAACUGAGAUAGGCAGUUGGGACAGAUUUUGGGAAGCUUUAGAAGAGAGGCGCCAGUCACCACAAUGGCCGUUCAGGUGUUGUACCUGAUUAAGCAUCAUUCCCCUAAGAAGCAUAACAAAUGAUUUCAAAAUGUGGAAACCAACAGUCUCAACUGAAUAUGGCUUGAAAUUUAAGCACAUCUUUUCCAGAUAUCUCUUCAGAGGAAGAACCUUCUGCCUACUGAGCUAACACUAAGCUCCCUGGAGUUUCGCCA